AACGAACGCUGGCGGCAUGCCUAACACAUGCAAGUCGAACGAGACCACCGUAACAGGUGGCUCACGGGUGCGGAGAGCGUGGGAAGGUGGCCGUAGGUUCGGAAAAACUCCCUUAAGGGGGUGCUAACAUCGGGAAAUUUACGCGAACCAAAGAUUUAUCCCGAUUGGAUGGGCACGGGUUGGUUUCGCUAGUUGGUAGUGUAAAAGCCUAUCAAGGCGACGAUCGUUAGCUGGUCUGAGAGGAAGAGCAGCGACACUGGGACUGAGACACGGGCCAGAAUCCUACGGGAGGAAGCAGUGGGGAAUAUUGCACAAUGGGGGGAAGGCUGAUGCAGCAAGGCCGCGUGAGCGAUGAAGGCCGUAGGGUUGUAAAGCUCUUUUAUACGGGAUGAUAAUGACAGUACCGGAAGAAUAAGCACCGGCUAACUACGUG
rnacentral:rRNA from 1 species